AUGGUGGAACCAGUGGCGGUGGCGCUCGUGGCAAUAGGGGUCACCGCGGUGGCGGCUUUGGCUGAACUCGCUCGGACGCCCCACGCUGUCAGAUCUGUGGCAAACCAGGCCACACCGCCAGGGACUACUGGUACCGCUACGAUGAAGACGAGGACGACGCUCAAGAUGAUGACAAGAUUGCUGCGGCGGCGGAUGGAUCCUACGGCAUCGACACCAACUGGUACCUCGACAACGGCGCCACCAAUCACGUCACUGGAGAGCUCAAGAAGGCGACCCUCCGUGAGAAGUACCACGGCAAGGAUCAAAUUCACACUGCCGAUGGUGCAGGAUCUGGCCACGAGGAAAACCCUCUAUCGAGGUAGAUGCGUCCGAGGACUCUACCCGUUCCUUCCGGAGUUUAGAAGACAUAAUAAACAAGCCUAUGGUGUUGUCAAGCUUUCUUCAACACGGUGGCACGAUUGUCUAGGACAUGCUUCAUUUUCUUUAGUUGAACGCUUGCUUAGGAAAAAUAAGCUCCCGUUUGUUGGUGAGCCUCAUGUUGGAACUAUUUGUGAUUCAUGCCAAAGAGCAAAAAGUCAUCAAUUGCCUUAUCCAGUUUCUACCAACGUUUCUACUCAACCACUUCAGUUAAUUUUCUCAGAUGUUUGGGGUCCUGCCCCUAGCUCAGUUGGCAGACACACAUAUUACGUUAGUUUCAUUGAUGACUAUAGCAAGUUCUCUUGGAUCUAUCUUCUUAAGAAAUGA
rnacentral:rRNA from 1 species